ensembl:lncRNA
GGAACCAAGAAGAGCAGGAGGCUUGUCAGAGGAGUUUAGAGACUGAAACAGACAGUAAUUCUCAAUCUGGAAACCUUGAGUCCCAAGACAUGGGGCAAGGACAAUCUCAGGGUCUCCUCCCCACGGAAACUAGUCAGCCCUCACAAAGAGAGGAGGAGAGCGAGGGGAGUAUAGAUCUUAGUUGCCAAGGGGACUUACCAGAGGAAAGGGAAGGGGAGACGAGUAGCAGUCAGGAAAUGGGUUUAAACUCUUCAGAACUUUCUUCCCAUGAUCCAGAGGAAAACGGUCAGCACGACGACAAGAUUGAGCCUAAGCUGUUUACGGAAUGCUUGGUGGGAAUGGAUGAAGUUAAAUUGACUUUAAAUCAGGUAAAUUCUGAGGUUACCUCAUCUGUACAAAUAGAUGAAAAUGUUAUUUCUGAUGGUGUUGACAAGCCACAUGGUAGCCUAGAGACAGAGACAGGAAAUCUUAUCGAACACACCAAAGGCAACACUGAGUCAGUUUCUGGUUUGGUUACGGAUGAUGCUAGCAUAAAGCAGAACUCUGGAUGUAGCAUUUCAGAGGGUGGUCCUUUGGAAUUGUUAAGUCUCCUGCCAAACAUGGCACCAGGACCGGUGCAUAAGGUUCGACGAGGGCUCUCGCCUGUUACUGAGACUUCCUCUCAUGAAGGUCCAGCUGUGGAGCCCUUUUCUGAAACUACAGAAAGUUUUCAGCAGCCACCCCAAGUCACACAAUCUUCAGAGACUGCAUUAGAAUGUCAGGAGAUUUUGUCAAAUGACACAAACUGUGACAUCAGCGCAAAAACAGGGAAUUCUGUUGGCAUCACUGCAGAGAUUUUGUCUUGCCGGAUUGAUGGGUCUCUACCUGAUGGAAGCAAGGAGAAGGUAGCCCCAAAUGAGAGGAUAAACAACCCUAAGGAGAUCUUUGAAGAGCCGGAAUCAGUAAAGGACAUUGUUGUCUCACAGUUGGAUGACAAAUCAAAAUCUUCUGAUGAAUCUUCUCUGCCUGUUGACUCUGAAACCUUUAUUGUAAGUGAUUUACAACAGGAUGUGUCUACAGUACUGCCUUCUGAACAUUGUGGAGCUGAUAUAAUUGUAGGAUCUCCUUUCAAAGAAGAGGCAUCUGAAAUGUUUGUUCAGCCAGAUUCUACAUCCAAACUGGUUGAGCAGAUUCCUGAGGAAUAUUCUGGAGAUACCUCAAAUGAAAAUCAAAUUUGUGAACCAGGGGAACCAUCAGUUCUAGUGUCCACUUUGCAAGGGGACCCGAAAAUUAAGGAUGUUGAUCCAGAUGAACCUCUACAGGAAAGGGAAAUUGACUCCACUUCACAGGACACAAUCACCGAGCUCCCUGAUCCGUCGGAAAUCACACACAAUGAUUGUCCUGAAUCCAAAGCACAGUUCCAGCUCCCUGAAUCCUCCAAGGAGAGUGCAAACACACCAUCAGAACCAACUGCUGAAUGUGUGAAUGACCUAGACCUGUCUUGUGCCUCACUCCUAACAGAAAGCCAAGGUGACAGACAUUCUGAGACACCCUUCACUGAUGGAGUAAAGAUCUCUGCUGUAAUUCCUGGUGGGGAUGAAUGUGUUGAAAUGGCUACCGAUAUAUGCGAGACGACUGUCUCUGGGGACAGCCCGUGUUCUCCCACAGACACCACCAGUGGUUCAGCUCUGGAGAGCUCCUCCAUGUCUGAUCCACUCAAUGCCUCAUCCUCAACGGCUGAGCUCACUUCCCCUUUGGAUAUUAAUAGUGGAUUGCUCCAGAGUUUGGAAAACACUUCCCUAGUGGAUAUAGACAAUGGUUUGUCUGAAGAACUGCAGCCUUCAGAAACACCUGAGAGCCUGAAUGGAUUACAUCAAGAUAUGCCUGAUUGUUUGAUGGAGCACAGUGAAACUCUUCAGAAAUGUGCUGAGGAACCACAUGUCGAACAAAUGACAGAUGACGGCACUUUAGCAGAGGAUGCAGUGGACGGACACCAAGACUCCUCAGCAGACAUAGCGAAUGCCGAAGCGGUGAAUAUUCUUUGGCUAUUAUCCUCAACCUGCCAUCCACUAAAAAAAAUCAUUAACAUUUAGACCUCUUG